rnacentral:rRNA from 1 species
AGCGAACGCUGGCGGUAGGCCUAACACAUGCAAGUCGAACGGCAGCUCAGUAAGAGCUUGCUCUUACGUGUGGCGAGUGUCGGACGGGUGCGGAAUACAUCGUAAUCUACUUUUUCGUGGGGGCUAACGUCGGGAAACUUACGCUAAUACCGCAUACGACCUACGGGUGAAAGCAGGGGAUCUUCGGACCUAUCGCGAUUGAAUGAGCCCAAGAUGGAUUAGCUAGUUGGCUGGGUAAAGACCCACCAAGGCGACGAUCGGUAGCUGGUCUGGGAGGAUGAUCAGGCACACUGGGACUGAGACACGGCCCAGACUCCUACGGGAGGCAGCAGUGGGGAAUAUUGGACAAUGGGCGAAAGCCUGAUCCAGAAAUGCCGCGUGAGUGAUGAAGGCCUUAGGGUUGUAAAGCUCUGUUACCCGGGAUGAUAAUGACAGUACCGGGGGAAUAAGCUCCGGCUAACUCCGUG